AAUAAGUGUAGUUUUGCACUAUUCACGUUUAAUGUUUGACUGUUCGUCUUAUUUGAAAAAAAUUUAUGAUUAGUAUCUGUAUUGCUAUUAGAUGAUAAAACAUGAAUAGUACUCUAUGUGUGACUAAAUAUCUUCAAAUUUUUCAAAUAAGACGGAUGGUCAAACGUUGGGCACGGAUAUCCACGGCUGCACUUAUU
rfam:Oryza sativa Japonica Group DNA, chromosome 4, cultivar: Nipponbare, complete sequence.